rnacentral:lncRNA from 1 species
AGUGGAGAUUGGAAAAGGAAAGAGAAUAUCUUGUUGAAGACAAAUGACGUUUUCCAUUAAGCAAAGAGGUUUUGCUUGGAGAAGAAGUGUUACUUGGAGAGGAAUAAGAAGUUUCCUUAUAUGGGAAUGAAAGUUUAUUAAGGUGCAUUUAAUGAACUUAGAGAGCAAGUCUACGGUUUAUAUAUAAGGAGGGACGUGCCCUUAUGAGAAAAAGGACCCAGAGAUUAAAGUGAGAGAAAGUUUCAUUUUUAAGUUUCAUUGUGUUCUUGUUGAGUGUCUGACGGAGUGUUCCGUUGUACUUGGUGUUGUGACGUUGGUGUUGGCGUUACGUGUAGCAGAGUUGUCCGUUGUGGUGUGGUGAUCAAUCUGUACGUUGGUGUUGGCGUGCUCGUUGGUAUCCUUGGUGUGCGUUAAGUUCUGACGUACUCGGUGACGUACUUGGAUGAAGUACUUGUUGACGUACCUUCAGAGACUUGGAGGUUGAAGCCUAGACUCAGAAGGAGUUU